AAUGCUGUGACACCUCACAUAAGGCAAUGCACUUAAUUUAUAUCAGAUAAUUGCAGCUCUGUAGCUGCCUCAAGAAAUAUUAAGGGGAAAGGCAGGAUCCAAACUCACAUCUGUGUAAUCCUGCCGAUGCACAGUUAUUUCUCCAAAUGUUAUUAUUUCAGAUAGACAGAAGAUCUGAAGUCUGCCUUUCUCUUUCUUUUUCUCUCCAUCGGAUUUGCCUGGCAUACAUUCCCUGCCUUUGUAAGCAGAAGAUAACCACACGAAAACUUGGUCAUCUGAUCAGCACUGGAAGCAUAUUAGAUAAGACGCAUCCCGCACUGCACCACGCCACCGAAGAAGUAAAAUGGCAGUGAUGUAUCAGUCAUCAAGAUCAUCAGGGCGAGACAGCGCAUUAUUUUCCUGUUCUGUUGCGUGCUGCUGGUGUGGAAAUCUCUGAAGAGGAAGACCUUUGACUGACAGCUUUAUUUUUCCAAUGCAAGGAGGAGCUGGCAGCAAGCACAGAAUGUGAAGCGUUUCUGACCCCACUGAGGAUAAGAGAGGUUUCUUAGGGUCCAGACCAGGACGUUAUCGCCUUCUGUGUCAGGAUUGUCUCCGUCUUCCUGCCAUCAGUGUUCCAUAAAUACAAAAAUACAGCAGAUUUUCAAAGCAAAGCACUGCAGAGUACGGAAUUCUCCCUCAAGGGUAACAAAAAAAUCCAAAUCCUCGAUGUGAAUUCAUUGAUAUAUACACAUCAAUUAUAUGUACGUGUAUAUCACAUACCCUUUUAAAUGGUGCAGAGAUUUCUCCUGAAGUGUCAUGUAUAAACCAACUCAGGGCAGUGCAAAAAUCCCUGGUUACAGUGCAGGACUUGUUAGCUCACAAGGGUGUUCAGCAUCUCACAAAACACCGGUUCUGCAAGUUCCUGAAAUGCCAUUCUUCCAAAGGCCUUUGCUGUGCAGAUGAGGGGGAAAGUUAGAGAAAUACAAGUACAAGCUCAGCAGCUCCUGUCCUGAUGACUCUUACAGUGUCCUGCAGCCUAUUCUACUCUCUAGGUUUAGCAAGUGAGAUUCCAGACGAGGUCUGAAAUGCCGGGUUGGUUGGCUGGUUUGUUUAACCAGAAGAUGCUCUCCUUCAAGGUAGACAGAUGUCAGAUUUCUGAACAGAAGACCCAAAUCCCAGGAUGGCAGGUUAGUCCUAACACACAUCUGAGCUCUGUAUUUGUUUAAACCAUUUACCAAAACUAUUAGCAUUACUAGAGUCAUUCUUGUACCUCACUUUGGCAGUACAAGAACUCUUUGCCAAGGAUCUGUUGCAUCCUUGGUGCAUUUGAGCCAUCAUCCAGUCUGUGACGCUGGAAGUGACUGACUUGGUUUA
rnacentral:lncRNA from 1 species